AUGGCAUCAACAUUGUUUCAGCUACGCCUCUUGAACAUUUUCUUUGUUGGAACACUACUGCUGCACUGCACACUCUACGCACAGUCAGUGGACGAUAAAGAGGUGACAUGCUGUAAGAGCACGAGUGCGAGGACGCGCCUGAAGACAGACGUCACCAAGUGUAUCAUCCAUCCCCAGACAGACCACUGUGUUUCAGCUGUCAUAUUUUUCAGUGGUAAGACAGGUCACUGCUUUCAACCUGGGACAAGAUAUGUCAAGCGCACAAUCAGAGAACUACAAAGGAAAGGCAUACGGUGUCUGGACUUGAGGAGCAAUGCCACGCUUAUGCAGUAAAUGGGUUUGUCCAGCUCUUCACCCACAUCGUUGGACUGCUCUUCCUCUUCCCCAGUACAAUUGCAGCUCUGGAUACCUCUGUAGUUCUGCACUGAGUCCUGGAGCCCAGACCCUACAGAGGGCAUGCACUGAUCCCUAUACCAACAGACCUUGACCCUGCACCCACAUUACGACAUACAGUACCAGCAUUAGUUUAAGGAGGUCACUGUAAUUUUUCGAGUAGCUCUCAAGGACACAUGUUUU